rnacentral:rRNA from 1 species
UGGGGAAUCUUGCGCAAUGGGCGAAAGCCUGACGCAGCAACGCCGCGUGGGGGAUGAAGGCCCUCGGGUCGUAAACCCCUUUCAGCAGGGACGAAACUGACGGUACCUGCAGAAGAAGGACCGGCCAACUACGUGCCAGCAGCCGCGGUAACACGUAGGGUCCAAGCGUUGUCCGGAUUCAUUGGGCGUAAAGAGCUCGUAGGCUAAUCAU